AUUUCACUCGUCCUGUGAAUUCAGAUGCAGUCAAGAAAUACUUCGCCUAAAAUAAAAAACAGAAUAGCUCGCUUAGUUGAAAACCCGAAAGAGCGAUCCAGGCAAAAGUUAACGACAUAAAAAAUGAAUAUGUAUCCCGCUAGAUUGAGUACCUCACCCUGGGGCAAUCUAGGCAAAACUUAGGGAUUUGGGAAGUAACUGCAUCCUG
rnacentral:lncRNA from 1 species